rnacentral:rRNA from 1 species
UACCAGCACCCCGAGUGGUCGGGACGUUUAUUGGGCCUAAAGCAUCCGUAGCCGGUUCUGCAAGUCUUCCGUUAAAUCCACCUGCUUAACAGAUGGGCCGCGGAAGAUACUAUAGAGCUAGGAGGCGGGAGAGGCAAGCGGUACUCGAUGGGUAGGGGUAAAAUCCGUUGAUCCACUGAAGAUCACCAGUGGCGAAGGCGGCUUGCCAGAAUGCGCUCGACGGUGAGGGAUGAAAGCUGGGGGAGCAAACCGG